UCUAAUUAAUUUGAUUUUAUUAAUAUAUAAUUUUGGUUUUAUUUUAUCAAUUAAAUUAAAAAAAAUUGUUUUGUUUUAUUAAUUUAGUGAAAUUUUUAUUUUAUUUUAUUAAUUUAUAAUAUUGAUUUUAUUUUAAAAUUUUGACUUUAAUAUAGUAUUAGUUUUAAUUUAUUAAUUUAUAAAUUUUUUUUAUGAAUUUAAGUUCAGUUUUUAAUUUGUUUUGAAUAAAUAGUUUUAAUUUAUAUAUUUUUAUUGUUAUUAUAAAUGGGGAGACUUGUGGAGAGAAAUAAAACAAAAUUUUGCAUAAACUGUGGCG
rnacentral:lncRNA from 1 species